GUGGGGAAUAUUGGACAAUGGGGGGAACCCUGAUCCAGCCAUGCCGCGUGUGUGAAGAAGGCCUUUUGGUUGUAAAGCACUUUAAGCGAGGAGGAGGCUACCGAGAUUAAUACUCUUGGAUAGUGGACGUUACUCGCAGAAUAAGCACCGGCUAACUCUGUGCCAGCAGCCGCGGUAAUACAGAGGGUGCAAGCGUUAAUCGGAUUUACUGGGCGUAAAGCGCGCGUAGGUGGCCAAUUAAGUCAAAUGUGAAAUCCCCGCGCGUAACUUGGGAAUUGGAUUCGAUGCAGGUUGGCUAGAGUAUGGGAGAGGAUGGUAGAAUUCCAGGUGUAGCGGUGAAAUGCGUAGAGAUCUGGAGGAAUACCGAUGGCGAAGGCAGCCAUCUGGCCUAAUACUGACACUGAGGUGCGAAAGCAUGGGGAGCAAACAGGAUUAGAUACCCGUGUAGUCC
rnacentral:rRNA from 1 species